CACGUGAGGUUUGGAAUUGGCACACAGGAAAAGGGCCAGAUUUUCGCUCCUAGAGGAUGAGGAGGGAGCAUGAUUAAAGCAGCAAAUUAGAAAAGAUAAAUAGGUGCAGGCUAAGUAAAAUGUUGUUGAGCUGGGGAGAGAAGCUAUGCUGUUUUCUUUAUUCAAAUUAUCUCUCUUAAGAUCUCUUGGAGUCAAGCAUAGAAGUAUCAGCAGGACCCUCCUCCGCAGCCAGGCAAUGGCUUCCGAGCAGCUGGCAUGCAGCAACCCCUGCGAGGCGAAGUGUCCUCAGCCCCUGGCUGCCAGCAGCAACGAGCCCUGCGUGGUUGCCUGCGGUGACUCCCGGGUGAUCAUCUACCCACCACCCGUCGUCGUCACCUUCCCAGGGCCCAUCCUCACCACCUACCCCCAGCAAACAGUGGUUAUCGCUCGCCCAGAGCCUCGGUGCGCUCCUAAAUACUCCUACACAUAUUCUUCCCAAUGGACACAUCCAUGCAACUUGUACCGCUCUGGAAAACGGUGGACAUACUGAGCUGGGAUGUGAAGCGGCUUCAGGUAGCUCAAGCCCCUGGCAAUGCAGGAGGGCUGAGCGGCCAGGCAGGAGCUCAGCAUUGGGCAUCGCCUGGCUCCAGCUGGAGGAGAGCUGUGAACACUCAGCACCUGUGAGAGGCAGCUCAUGUGUGCAGUUUCUCCUUUUGCCUUUAGCUUAGGUUUGUUAGCCUCUGGCUUUCUGGUUUAGUCAUCUGCUUACAUUGUGCUUUGUUUACUUCAGUUACGUUAUUGACACUGAGUCUAGAGAGGUGACUUAGGAUGCUAGAAAUUGCACACAUCAACUGCACCGAAGGAAAAAAAAAAUAUAUAGGCUGCAUCACUUUGGUCCUGGUGAUAAACCAGACCACAGUGAACCCCCAGAAAGAUAAUCUUUAUAUUAUGUACAAUUUUGUUCCAGAAUUGUAGAAAAGCUGUCUCCUUCCAAAUAAAUUUUCUAUACCAAACUAUGACUUUUGGUUU
rnacentral:lncRNA from 1 species